AUGUCUGUCUUUCUGUGUUAACAGAAUGGUAAGCACUAGAACUAAAUGAAACAAUCAGUGACGAAUGGAAGAUGAUGAGCGCUGAAAAAUACGCACUUAUCCCAAAACUAAGCUAACUCAGCCAAAUAAGAGCAAAAAUGAAGCAAUUCUGGGAUGAAUUAAAGAAAGGAGCCAAGUGGAAGCAAAAGGAAGCAAAAGGUGGAAUUCAACAUCUUCGAUCAAUCUCAGAUCAAAGUUCGGUCGAUCCAACAUGAUCAAUCUCAGCACUUUAAGAUGGAUCAGAGCCAUGAUGACAUUUUCAGAGAUCUCAAAAGUUCAAUAGAUCCAACAUCAUUCUUCGAUCGAUGGAACUACCUUAUCCUUAUCCAAAUGAUUGAUCUUAUCUAGUUGUACCACCCUAUCAACCAUUUUUGUCCUUUUCCCAAAAAUAUCUUCGAAAUAUCUCAGAUUUGUUUUUAUCCAAAAAGGUGCCACUAUUGAGGAUCGAUCCAACUUCAGUUCGAUAGAUCUCAGCCAUGUUCGAUCGAUCCAAGUCUAAGGUUCGAUGGAUCGAACUUCCUCCAGUGCGAAAAAGUUAAAUUUUCAGCUCAUUGAAAGCUGUCCAUAUCCAAUCAUUGGGGAAUAUUUUGUGCACGACCCCAACUCAUUUUGUGUGUCACUUGACCUACCUAUAUAUAGAAUAUGAUACACUUUUUAAGGGGGAUUCAUAUAUCACAAUAGAGGCUAUUCUUAAGGAGGAAUAAAGGAGGAGAAGGCUAAAGACAAAAGCUUGGGAGCUCUUCAUCAACCAAGGAGUAGAUUUCUUCCAUGGAGUUUGCCGUUGAGGGUUGGAGAAGCAUUACCAUGAGUGGUUAGACAUCCUCUUGGGGCUAGAGUUAGCCCCAAGCAGGCUUUUUACAUCUUAAUUUUGUGUAUUAUUGAGGGAUUAGUGUUGUAAUACAUGUUUUGGCACUUUUAUGUAUAUAGAUCUUGUUUAUUCAAUGAUUUAUGUGGUUUAA